rnacentral:rRNA from 1 species
UACGUGGGGGCAAGCGUUGUCCGGAUUUAUUGGGCGUAAAGAGCGUGUAGGCGGCCAGGUAGGUCUGCUGUGAAAACUCGAGGCUUAACCUCGAGAUGUCGGCGGAAACCAUCUGGCUAGAGUCCGGAAGAGGAGAAUGGAAUUCCCGGUGUAGCGGUGAAAUGCGCAGAUAUCGGGAAGAACACCCGUGGCGAAGGCGGUUCUCUGGGACGGUACUGACGCUGAGACGCGAAAGCGUGGGGAGCGAACAGG